rnacentral:rRNA from 1 species
AUGGCUUUGAUAUCAGCACCAGAAAACUCAUCUUUGGUCAUCACAAACUCUUCUAGGUUCACAUCUUCUGCCAAUGUCAUCUUAGCAGUGUGUAUCUGCACCAAUAAAACACUAGUUUUAAUAUCUGGUAAUGGAAAUUCAAUCUUUCUGUCAAUUCGGCCUGGUCGAAGCAAAGCUGGGUCAAGGCUCUCAAUGCGGUUUGUGGCUAGAAUAACCUUUACAUCUCCUCUUGAAUCAAAACCAUCGAGCUGA